AAGAUAAUUCAACACCUACCUCCGCCAGAGAACUACAAGUAAAAACUUAAAACUCUAAGGACUUGACGGUGUCCCAUAUCAACCUAGAGGAGCCUGUCCUAUAAUCGACAACCCACGCUAUACCUUACCACCCCUUGCAAACAACAACCUAUAUACCGCCGUCGUCAGCCCACCUCCUGAGAGCCCUAAAGUGAGCUAAAAUGUACAUCAC
rnacentral:rRNA from 1 species